rnacentral:rRNA from 1 species
GACCCGUAAUCCGGGUUGCGGACAGUGUCUGGUGGGUAGUUUGACUGGGGCGGUCUCCUCCUAAAGAGUAACGGAGGAGCACGAAGGUUGGCUAAUCCUGGUCGGACAUCAGGAGGUUAGUGCAAUGGCAUAAGCCAGCUUGACUGCGAGCGUGACGGCGCGAGCAGGUGCGAAAGCAGGUCAUAGUGAUCCGGUGGUUCUGAAUGGAAGGGCCAUCGCUCAACGGAUAAAAGGUACUCCGGGGAUAACAGGCUGAUACCGCCCAAGAGUUCAUAUCGACGGCGGUGUUUGGCACCUCGAUGUCGGCUCAUCACAUCCUGGGGCUGAAGUAGGUCCCAAGGGUAUGGCUGUUCGCCAUUUAAAGUGGUACGCGAGCUGGGUUUAGAACGUCGUGAGACAGUUCGGUCCCUAUCUGCCGUGGGCGCUGGAGAACUGAGGGGGGCUGCUCCUAGUACGAGAGGACCGGAGUGGACGCAUCACUGGUGUUCGGGUUGUCAUGCCAAUGGCACUGCCCGGUAGCUAAAUGCGGAAGAGAUAAGUGCUGAAAGCAUCUAAGCACGAAACUUGCCCCGAGAUGAGUUCUCCCUGACUCCUUGAGAGUCCUGAAGGAACGUUGAAGACGACGACGUUGAUAGGCCGGGUGUGUAAGCGCAG